UACGGGGGGAGCAAGCGUUGUUCGGAUUUACUGGGCGUAAAGGGCGCGUAGGCGGCCAGCGCAAGUCAGUUGUGAAAUCUCCGGGCUUAACUCGGAAAGGUCAACUGAUACUGCGCGGCUAGAGUGCGGAAGGGGCAACUGGAACUCUCGGUGUAGCGGUGAAAUGCGUAGAUAUCGAGAGGAACACCCGCGGCGAAGGCGGGUUGCUGGGCCGACACUGACGCUGAGGCGCGAAAGCCAGGGGAGCGAACGGG
rnacentral:rRNA from 1 species